rnacentral:snoRNA from 1 species
CUGCCAAUCGAGUGCAGGUGCAUGUGCCUCGUGCCAUGCAGCUGUUGUUGACGACAAAGUUUGGCUAAAUGACAGCCAGGGUACGAGCCCCACUACCUCUCUGUGGUUGUUGGGGUCCCUAAGAAUGGCUACAUGU